GAUUAAAUGGCUGAAGUUUAGGCGGUAGAUUGUAAAUUUACAUAUAAGGGGAUUCCUUUUUAAUCA
rnacentral:tRNA from 1 species